AACACGAGUAUAAAAGAACACGAGUAGAGACGAUAAAAGAACACGAGUAGAGACGAUAAAAGAACACGAGUAGAGGAUAAAAGAACACGAGUAGAGGAUAAAAGAACACGAGUAGAGGAUAAAAGAACACGAGUAGACGAUAAAAGAACACGAGUAGAGGAUAAAAGAACACGAGUAGAGGAUAAAAGAACACGAGUAGAGGAUAAAAGAACACGAGUAGAGAACACGAUAAAAGAACACGAGUAGAGGAUAAAAGAACACGAGUAGAGGAUAAAAGAACACGAGUAGAGGAUAAAAGAACACGAGUAGAGACGAGGAUAAAAGAACACGAGUAGAGACGAUAAAAGAACACGAGUAGACGAUAAAAGAACACGAGUAGACGAUAGUAGAGGAUAAAAGAACACGAGUAGAGGAUAAAAGAACACGAGUAGAGGAUAAAAGAACACGAGUAGAG
ensembl:lncRNA